ensembl:lncRNA
UUCUAUCCCAUAAAAUUUUUAUUUUCAAAAUAAAACUUUGUACAGAACAUUGUAGAUCUGAGUAAAUCUAAAUACAGCAGUUUCCGUGAUAUGACGCAAGGGUUUGCUUUUAGCACAGUCCUUUCACACUCUAGCAAUCAGAAGGCAAGACCAGCAAUUAGGAGGGAAAAAAAUAAAUUGCUCUUAUCUGUCAGAACAUGUAUUUCUAGAGUUCCUUCUUCAUGAAAUGUACCUAGAGAGUAGAGCCCUCUCCACCUCAGAUUGCACAGCUAUUCACGCUGUAAAAACAAGGGAAGGACAGGAGAUUUUCAAUAGGACAGAGAUUUGCGAAACAACUGCAAUUCUGAGAUAUAAAUAUCUUUUGUUUCCAAGUUUCUCUCUCCUCCCCUCCCAUACACACCGAUGGAACUCUCAGAAAGGUCUAAACCAUGGAUCAUUAUGUAUAUACACAGUGCAAAUACUGUGCAAGCAGAGAAGUCUAAAGCCAUGCAUUGUUCUAGUGCUCAAUAAAAGCAAGUUGAGUCUUCUGCUAUUCAACUGUACAUUAUUUAUAACAUUGCAUUCUAAACCUUAUACAAAGCUUAUACAGUAGUUUCCAUAACCAAACUAAGCACAUUUAUACACUUGUGCUUCUCUGGAUGCAAUUUUCAUGGCACCUUCUUUUCUGCAUCACUGAGUAUGCAAGAUCCUAUCCACACAGCACAUUAGAAUACUUCAGCUCUAACAGUUUUUGCUGUACUCAUGCUUCAUUAGUAUCACGCAAAAUAUCCUACAACCAUGCAGAUCCAGAUACAAAAAUAUGGCUGGAUUGUUAAGGAGGAGACUGCAGCAUGAACCGCAUUUUUAAGUGCUCACAAAUUGUAUGCAACCCGUUAUAUCUCCCUUUUUAAAAGCCUUUUUUGAUGAGGCAAUUGUUCUUCCUCAUCUGUUGGUACAACCAGGGUGUCUCCUGAGAGUGCUAUCUAUUCACAUUUAUGCUGCUCAAUGCAACUGAAGAAUACCUCACUUUAAGCUGGACUGUUGCUUAGAAAGCCUAUGCCUUUUAGGUUUUUUAGAGGUUAAAAAAAAAAAAAAAAAAAAAAAAAAAAAAAAAA